UAAUACAGAGGGGGCAAGCGUUAUUCGGAAUUAUUGGGCGUAAAGGGCGCGUAGGCGGUUCUUCAAGUCUCUCGUGAAAUCCCUCGGCUUAACUGAGGACGUGCGGGAGAUACUGAAGGGCUUGAGUCCGGAAGAGGGUGGUGGAAUUCCCAGUGUAGCGGUGAAAUGCGUAGAUAUUGGGAGGAACACCGGUGGCGAAGGCGGCCACCUGGGCCGGAACUGACGCUGAGGCGCGAAAGCGUGGGGAGCAAACGGGAUUAGAUACCCCGGUAGUCCACGCCGUAAACGAUGGGCACUUGGUGUCGCGGGUAUCGACCCCUGCGGUGCCGAAGCUAACGCAUUAAGUGCCCCGCCUGGGGAGUACGGUCGCAAGGCUG
rnacentral:rRNA from 1 species